rnacentral:lncRNA from 10 species
CUCCUGAGCUCAAGCGAUCUGCCCACUUCGGCCUCCCAAAGUGCUGGGAUUACAGGUGUGAUCCGCUAUACCUGACCUAUAGUUUUAAAUAUGGAUUUUUUUCAUAUAUGGGUAUUUUAAUCUAAAUGGAACUCACUUUUGUAAAUAUGAUUGUGAAGGGAUUUAGCUCAUUUUUGUCUUCCAUAGGGUGAGGUAGUUUUCCCAGUGCCAGGUAUUAAACAGUCCAGAGGUAGCCAGCACCCAAGACAGCCACCAGGGGUUCUUGCCUCCUGGUUUCCAGGCUCUUGUUCAGUCCCCUCCCACACCAAAUAGGGCAGACCUUUUCAGAUCCUCACCAAGGAGACCCUUGUGUAUGACCAAUAGGACAUUGCAGAAAUGACAGCAUGUGACUUUGAAGCUAGGUCAUAAAAGACAUUACAGCUUCUGCCUCUCUUUGAGAUCACUCACUCUAUGUGAAUGCUAUGUGAGGACACUCAGGCAUCCCUAAGCAGAGGUCCACUUGGUGAGGAACUGAAGCCCCUGCCGACAGCAAGCACAGACUCCCCGCCAUAGUGGUGACCUGUCUCAGAACCAGAGCUUCUAGGCCCAGGCAAACCUUCUGAUGACUGCAGCCCUAGCCAAAAUCCAGACUGCAGCUUCAUGACAGAUUCUGGGCCAGGGCCACCCAGCUAAGCCCAUCCCAAAUUCCUGACCCACAGAAACUAUGUGAGAUAAUGUUUAUUUUUAUUUAUUUAUUUUUAAAUAGAGACAGAGUCUUGCUCUGUCGGCCAGGCUGGUCUCGAACUCCUGACCUCAAGCAGUCCUCCAGCCUUGGCCUCCCAAAAUGCUGAGAUUACAGGCAUGAGCCUCCACACCUGGACUGUUGUUUUAAGCUGCUGAGUUUGUAGUAAUUUGUUACCCAGUAACAGAGAACAGACUUUGGUUUCUGGAAUGGGGGUCUGCCAUAACAGAAACCUCAAAUGUAGAAGUAACUUUACAACUGAGAAGUGGGAAGAAGCUGGAAGGACUUUGAGGAGAUUGUUAGUAAAAGCUUAAGGAGUGUUAAAAAGUAUUGGCUGGGCACAGUGGUUCACACUUGUAAUACCAUAACUUUUGGAGGCCAAGGUGGGAGGAUCACUUGAGUUCAGGAGUUCGAGACCAGCCUGAGCAAUAUAGUGAGACCUUGUCUCUAAAAAAAUUAAAAGAAAAAAGGUGAGAAAGUCUGUUAAUAAGAGUCCAGUGACCUUUAAGACAGCUGCAAUAAGGGCUUGAAGAACAGUUAGGAAAAUGCUAUUGGAAACUGAUGGAAAGGAGAUCCUUGUGUAGCGGCAGAAAGUUUAGCAACACUGUCUCCUGCAUUAGUGUGGAGGGUAGGAAAUAUACCUAAGGAACGGAUGGUCUAGCUAAGGAGCUUUCCAGACAGAAUGUUGAAGGUGCCACCUGGCUUCUUGCUGCUUAUAGUAAAACUGAAGAGGAGAGAGUAAGUUAAAGAAAAAAAACACUUAAAUGAAAAAGAGCCUGAAAUUGUUGGGUUUGAAAAUUCCCAGCCUUUCCAGAUAACAAGUGAUGUUAAAAUUAACAAAUGGCUUCCGUGCAAAGAUUAAAUACAAGGCAUUAAAUACAGGGAAAUGUGGUCUAAAGGUCAAGCUGAGGAUGUGAUGAAAAAGUCCUUUGUUAAGACCUCAGAAAUACCAACAAGAUGCCUCAGAGGGGACUUCCAGUCGAAUGAAAUAAUAAUCACGCUUCUGAGAAGGUUAAAGGUGUUGUCUUUCAGCGUCUCAGCACAAGCCCAAAGUAGAGAAGGGCUUACCUUGCAGAGAUUUUCUUUUUUCUUUUUCUUUUCUUUUUUUUUUUUUUGAGAUAGCUCACUGCAACCUCCUCCUCCUGGGUUCAAGUGAUUCUCCUGUCUCAGCCUCCUGAGUAGCUGCGAUUACAGGUGCCCACCACCACGCCCAGCUAAUUUU